UACAGAGGGUGCGAGCGUUAAUCGGAAUUACUGGGCGUAAAGCGUGCGUAGACGGUCAUGUAAGUCGGGUGUGAAAGCCCCGGGCUCAACCUGGGAAUUGCAUUCGAGACUGCAUGGCUAGGAUGCGGAAGAGGGAAGCGGAAUUUCCGGUGUAGCGGUGAAAUGCGUAGAUAUCGGAAGGAACACCUGUGGCGAAAGCGGCGCACUGGACCAUAACUGACGCUGAGGCGCGAAAGCUAGGGGAGCAAACAGG
rnacentral:rRNA from 1 species